AGCCAUUGUUAGACCAGUACUGGCUGUGUUUGUACACAUUUGCUUUUAAGUGUUAUGGAGACAUUGUGUCCCAAGUUCCAAGUCUCGGUUGAUAGGAAGGAGUUCAGAGGCCCCACAGCAGAUGACAGAUGCCAAGAGGAAGAUAGUCUGCAGGAACCUUUCACAACAGAGGGACCAGCGGAUGAGAACUCUAAUAACCUGUGUAAACUGCUCGAUUCACCACAAGGUGUGACGCCAGAAUGCACAGCGCACGACUCGUUCUCAGUCGGAUGCUCAGAAACCGUUGUCGUGUCUUGGCAUCAGGAUCUCAGGUCAUCAGAGAUGAACUGUGAUCUGACCACGAAUCGAUCUGGUCUCCAGGAAGUGACUUACUGCAUGCAUCAUGGCCCACCUAAGCUCAAAGAUAGUAGGUAUGCCUGGUUCAUGCUCCUCCUGGUGCUACUGGUGAACUUCGUAGUCGCGGGAAACUUCAACAGCUUCGGCAUAACUUACACCAUCAUCCGAGAUUACUUCUCGGAUGCCUCCGGGUCGGAGACGGGCUGGAUUCUGGGUCUUCUCAUGGGUUGCCGAUGUUUAUUAUCGCCUUUCAUGGGAGCUCUGGCCAUGGUCAUAGGACCGAGGAAAUGCAUUGUGCUCGGGGGCUUCCUGUGUGCUGGGAGUCUUUUGCUCGCUGUCCCCGCUUACUCUGUAGUCCACAUGGCUGUCACUCUAGGAGCGCUUUUUGGUAAGUGUUUGUUUAAAGACCC